CCCAUGGACCUUCUAGUUGCUUUUCUGAUUAACGCUCCUUUCAGCAGCAGCGUUCAUGUCACACCGGCCCUCACCAGAAAUGAGUUGAUUGAGGCAAUCCCUCCCAUUAAUGAUGCCAACUGUUCUAAACGGCGCUGGAGCUGAGCUGAACGGAGGAGGAGGGAGAUGUCAACGAGACGGAAGCUGCACGCAAGCGGCGAGGACAAUGCUCAGGAUUUUACAGGCUGCUGUUCAGAUAUAAAUGGAUGAUAUACCGACUUCCACCCAUCGCUCUCUCUUUCCCUCCCACACACUCUGAUUCUUAAGCAGGUUUUGUUUUAUUAACUCCUUUAAAUGUACAUAUGUGGCUUUAUUUGCCUGUCACACGUGAGCAUAUUUGGGAGAUUAUGAAAUAUAUCUACAUCUGGUUGUUGUGCAGACUGCGCUCAGAUACAUAAAAGUCAUGACUUUAUUUUUACAAAGAAUCAAUUAGAUCAUAUACUUUUAUGGUGGAGCCUUUUCCAUUGGCAAGUCAUCUGAAAGCUGCUUGUUCUUCGUAUUGACUGAAUGAAAAGUAAAUAAAACAGCCUGCAUCAGGAGGAACAUUGAUGAUGCAGCAAAAUGGCACUUAAGAAUAUUAUUAUUGUUCUUUUAUGUGUUCUCCAGAGAGCAGCUACACCUGCAAAAAUAUACAGAAAAUCACAUUCAACGCAUGAAUAUUGGAGAUUGAGAAAUAAGUAAUACAUUCACAUCAACCGAUGAACAGCACAAAUGAGAUUAAAGUUUCAUCUUUGAGAAAAAAGCUUACCUGAAUCUGAAGCUGAAUGUGUGUAUUUAUAAUAAAAAAAAAUAUGGUUCUCAUAAACCCACCAUAAAAAAUUCAA